rnacentral:rRNA from 1 species
GGGCCCGCACAAGCAGUGGAGUAUGUGGUUUAAUUCGAAGCAACGCGAAGAACCUUACCAGGUCUUGACAUCGUGCGCAUAAUGCAGAGAUGCAUGAAGUCCCUUCGGGGACGCAUAGACAGGUGGUGCAUGGUCGUCGUCAGCUCGUGUCGUGAGAUGUUGGGUUAAGUCCCGCAACGAGCGCAACCCUUGUUGGCAGUUACUACGAGAAGAGGACUCUGCCGAGACUGCCGUUGACAAAACGGAGGAAGGUGGGGAUGACGUCAGAUCAUCAUGCCCUUUAUGACCUGGGCUACACACGUACUACAAUGGCGACUAACAAAGAGAAGCGAACCUGCGAAGGCAAGCAAAACUGUUAAAAGUCGUCUCAGUUCGGAUUGCAGGCUGCAACCCGCCUGCAUGAAGUCGGAAUUGCUAGUAAUCGCGGAUCAGCAUGCCGCGGUGAAUACGUUCCCGGGCCUU